rnacentral:rRNA from 1 species
UACGGAGGGGGCUAGCGUUGUUCGGAAUUACUGGGCGUAAAGCGCACGUAGGCGGACUCUUAAGUCGGUGGUGAAAUCCUGGAGCUCAACUCCAGAACUGCCUUCGAUACUGGGAGUCUCGAGUCCGGGAGAGGUGAGUGGAACUGCGAGUGUAGAGGUGAAAUUCGUAGAUAUUCGCAAGAACACCAGUGGCGAAGGCGGCUCACUGGCCCGGUACUGACGCUGAGGUGCGAAAGCGUGGGGAGCAAACAGG